GGCGCCUUCGUCUAUCGGCUAGGACACAUGGUUCUCAUCCAUGUAAGAGGGGUUCGACUCCCCUAGGCGCUACCA
rnacentral:tRNA from 1 species